UAAGGAAUAUUGGUCAAUGGACGCAAGUCUGAACCAGCCAUGCCGCGUGGAGGAUGAAGGCCCUCUGGGUUGUAAACUUCUUUUAUGGGGGACGAAACCCCGGAUUUUUAUCCGGCCUGACGGUACCCCAGGAAUAAGCACCGGCUAACUCCGUGCCAGCAGCCGCGGUAAUACGGAGGGUGCAAGCGUUAUCCGGAUUCACUGGGUUUAAAGGGUGCGUAGGCGGGUUUGUAAGUCAGUGGUGAAAUCCCGAAGCUUAACUUCGGAACUGCCGUUGAUACUACAGGUCUUGAAUACUCGGGAGGUGAGCGGAAUAUGUCAUGUAGCGGUGAAAUGCUUAGAUAUGACAUAGAACACCGAUUGCGAAGGCAGCUCACUACAGAGUCAUUGACGCUGAGGC
rnacentral:rRNA from 1 species